rnacentral:rRNA from 1 species
GUGGGGAAUUUUGGACAAUGGGCGCAAGCCUGAUCCAGCAAUGCCGCGUGCAGGAAGAAGGCCUUCGGGUUGUAAACUGCUUUUGUACGGAACGAAACGGCUCUGGUUAAUACCCGGGGCUAAUGACGGUACCGUAAGAAUAAGCACCGGCUAACUACGUGCCAGCAGCCGCGGUAAUACGUAGGGUGCAAGCGUUAAUCGGAAUUACUGGGCGUAAAGCGUGCGCAGGCGGUUUUGUAGGACAGGCGUGAAAUCCCCGGGCUCAACCUGGGAAUGGCGCUUGUGACUGCAAAGCUGGAGUGCGGCAGAGGGGGAUGGAAUUCCGUGUGUAGCAGUGAAAUGCGUAGAUAUGCGGAGGAACACCGAUGGCGAAGGCAAUCCCCGGGGCCUGCACUGACGCUCAUGCACGAAAGCGUGGGGAGCAAACAGGAUUAGAUACCCCAGUAGUCC